GAGUUAGUGAGCACCUUGCAGACACACAGGAUGUACUUCUCCAAGAUGGUGCAAUGGAGCAGAAACAGCUCAUGUCCCUAAUAAGAAGCCACGAGGGACCUCAUUGCUUAUUGAAGAGUCUUGCAGCAUACUUUGUUCGUUGGUCUUUUCUUAAUGGUUGGCUAUUUCUCCUCCAAUUCAAGAACAUUAAAAUCUAACAGAACAAAGACCGUGACCACCCCAGACACACAUCCCACAACUCCAAGCUAUGUGUGUCCAGAAGAGAAACAAAACAAAAUUUAUGGCUUUUGCUCUAGUAAUUCCUGCCACCCACUGAUCUAAGUCAUUCUUGAACACGAUUAUGAGUGUUUUCAUACAUAUGUGAUGCAUUGAGUAACUGAAUGGAUCCCAUCUGGGAGAUAUAUAAAGUGGACACUGAAGUGACUCAUCAGGCAGCUGCAGAGAAUACACAGAUGAGAAUGGCAGGGAACUCCACCAUGAAGAUGCUGAGCAUCAUCCACACCAUUUCCAGAAGAUGGAAAAAGCCACAUGACUGUGGAACACCACAAAAUUGAGGAAGAGUUUGAAGCUCACGGCUGCCAGAGUGAAACCUUGGGCUCUGGUAUUAGCUGCCUUGUACAUGGCUGAUUGGAACACAAAGGAAAAUAAUCUUGUAAGUUGUU
rnacentral:lncRNA from 1 species